rnacentral:lncRNA from 1 species
UUCAUGAAAUUAUAUUCAAACAGACAUGGUAAAACCAAAUCAAAUAACAUAAUCCAAAGUCAAGAAGAGUACCUUGAUGUAGCAGUACAACAAUGAGAAACAACAAUAAGAAACUGGAACUGAGCCUAGCAAUGAAGGAAAUCAGCAGCAGAAGAGUUUAAAGGCAAAGAUAAAGUAAGCACUGUGAGGGAUUUUUGCCCAUUUGAAACUUCAUUAGAAGCAUUUUUUGAAAAACUGUCUGACCGAACCUUGCUUCAAAGAUUGCCUAUAUAUCCUUCGCUAUAAAUGAAUCAGGUCAAGUAUUGUUCAGAAGUGGACGAAGUGAUGGAGUACCGAGGCUGAGAUUCGAGUGAGGUUCCGUGCGAGGCUCCAGUUCGUUGUCCCGUUAUUACAGCAAAAUCAAAAUUGAAAACGACUAACUAAGCCUAUCAGCUACGAGUUACAAGAUUCCUAUCUAAGAGUCUUCUGAAACUUGAUCUUGAGUCUUGGUUGGUGCUUCAUGUGGACCCUGAUCUGAUUCUUGAUGCUUGUUAGCCGCAGGUGUUUGUUCAAUUUUCUUCAGCUUUUGGAUCAAGACCGUACAUGUAGUGCUCAUGACUUCCACCACAUCUUGAGAAGUUCACAUAUUUCCCAGCUUCAGAAUUUUGAAGCUCACUUCUUUUGUUCUUUUUUCCCUUUUCUUUAUUUUGGAUUGAGACUCAUACUUUCUGUCAUCUCGAAUCGUGUGCCUCGAAGUCAAACCUACUCAAGCACGUUGAACCAUUUUCCUUUCAAACUUGAACCAUCUUUCUUCAAAAAUGAUUUCCCUUGAAACUUGAGUUGUCUUCCGUUGACACUACUUUCCCUUGAAACUUGAGUUGUCUUCCCUUAUUCUCUAGGCGAAAUCUAUUGUUGCAUUUUGAAUUGUAAACUGAGAUGUUUUCCCUUCUUCAUAUUACUGAAUUUGAAUGUAUUCCUCUGUUAUCCAGGCGGGCUCCUAACUUCAUAAAAAUAGACAAAACAAAGAAAACAUUCCACCCCAGUUUGAAAACUGGGUACAUGUUACUGGAUAUUAAUAAGAAUUUGAUUAAAACUUGACUUGAAAUACCUCUGUCACAUAGGCGAGCUCCUGACUUCGGAAACUUGAAUUUUAUGGCUUCGUUCUUCAGGCGGGAUCCUGAUUGCUGAAUUUUAAAUUGCAUGUAUUCCUCUAUUAUCCAGGCAGGCUCCUGACUUCACAAAACAGACAAAACAAUGAAAACUUUCUGUCCCAGUUUGGAAAACUGGGUGUUUGUUACCACAUACUAAACUUGAAUUGUGAUAAGACUGAAAUGCAACUUUUUUUAAAAAAAAUAUUUAACGGCUGAAAUUUAUCUUAAAAUUUAAAAUUUAUCGUAGGUGAAAAAUUAUCAGACUAAGAUUUUCAUCUGAGGUAAAAGAUUCAACAGACGAAUAUUUUUCUUUUAUUUUAGGUGAAAAAUUCAUCAGACUAAGAUUUUCAUCUUAGGUGAAAGAUUCAACAGACUAAGAUAAAUUUAUCUUAGGUGAAAAAUACAUCAGACUAAGAUUUUCAUCUUAGGAGAAAGAUUCAAUAGACUAAGACUUCUCUAUCUUUGAUCUUAGAUGAAAAAUUCAUCAUACUAAGAUUUUCAUCUUAGGGGAAAGAUUCAACAGACUAAGAUUUUUAUCUUGUAUUUUAGGUGAAAAAUUCAUCACACUAAUAUUUUCAUCUGAGGAUAAAGAUUCAACAGACUAAGAUUUUUAUCGUGAAUCUUAGAUGAAAAUUUCAUCAGACUAAGAUUUCCAUCUUAGGUUAAAGAUUCAACAAACUAAUAUUUUGACUCUAGGAGAUAAUUCAUCAAACUAGGUCCAUUUUUCGACUUUAGAAUUUCUUAAUUUUUCAAAUUCCAACUUCCUUUCUUUUCAAAUUCUGCCUUCCUUUCUUGUUCUGAAAUUACGCGUUUCUUUCUUUUUUCAACUUCUUCCUUCCCCCUUUUUUUUUUCCAAAUUAUGCCUUAUUUUAUUUUUCCAACUUCUGCCUUUCCUUUUUAAAAUUAUACCUUCCUUUCUCUUUUCCAACUUCUGCCUUUCUUCCCUAAUUUUGCCUUCCUUUCUUGUCCUAGCUUCUGGCUUUAUCUUAGGUGAAAGAUUCAUCAGACUAAGAUUUUUAUCUUAGGUGAAAAUUUCAUCAGACUAAGAUUUCUGUAUCUUCAUCAUAGGUGAAAGAUUCAUCAGACUAAGAUUUCUGCAUCUUAGGUGAAAAAUUCAUCAAUAAGAUUUCUCUAUCUUAGGUGAAAGAUUCAACAGACUAAGAUUUAUGUAUCUUAGGUGAAAAAUUCAACAGACUAAGAUUUUAUCUUAACCACUUUCCUCCGAAACUUGUUCUAUCUACCUUGAAUUAUUUUCCUGCUUCCCUAAAAACUGGUGUUGUCCCCCUUCAAAACCCCUACCCUAACAACUAUAUUUCGAUCAUCCGAGAAUUACUUUUCCUAAAACUAGUACUUCUUUCCUGAAAACUACUUCCCUCUUCUUCUUGUAAAAAAAUCCUGUAUUUGACCUUCAUGUUCUUCAAAUGGUACCCGACUUCAAAAAUGAUUUUCAAAACGACAAAAAAUAAUCUGCCCCAUUUGAUAAUCUUCCUGUAGCAUAAACUUUCCAUGCCCCUGUUUCAAAUCAAAGAAAAUUCUAUCAGUUUAAAGCGCAGCGGUUGGUUGUGGUACUCCUGCUGGGAAUAACUUUCCUUUUUCUCCUUUCCAUACUUUGAAUUGCCUGGCCAUCUUUGAAACUUAGCUAAUAAUAUUUGCAUUUCUUGACGACUACCUCUCAAUUAUUACUUCUAUUCUUCUUAUCUGACCCAUACAUUUUUUUUGACAGCUGAUUCUUCUUGAAGAUCUUGCAUUUUACUAAUUAACCACUUUCUCUGUCAUCUGUGUCACCAAAAAACCUUUUCCGUUGUCAAACCGUAUAUCUGAUUUUUGUUACACCGCUCAUGAGCUGGCAUUUUUCGACUUUUGAGUCUUACAUGAAUUCCCAAAUUGCGUCUAUUGCCCCUACAGUAUGUUGUUGCUUCGUAAAUCACAAACCUUAUUCCCUUGACCCUGAAGUCUAUUGCUCAUUCACUUACCCCUUGUCACAGAAAAUAUUUAUUCUUCGUUCAAAACCAAUACCCUCCAUCUGUUUCAUUACUCCUGAACUGACAUCUACUAAACUUUGUGUUUCAUAAGGAUCCCAAAGUAUGUUUAAUAUUACUAGCUUAGUGCUCUAGUUGUUUUUCCUACAUUGGGACCCCAUUUUGUGCAAUUGGAAAGCUGGUGGUAAAUUUUGAAGUCAUUUCUCACUUGUUACGACUAAAAAGACUCAGAAAGGGAAAAUAAACAAAACAGAGGAACGACGUCAAAGGCAAAAGAAAAAGAUUAUUCUGUCAAUCAAUUCUGACGCUCAUCUCUUGUUGUUCCUUUCGCUGUGAAACUUGGCUUUAAUGCUCCACUUAUCCCAUUUGAUUCGCAUUCCUUACUCGGCUUGUAGUGUCCAAAUAGCUUUCACUAACAAACCUCUUUCAUUUGUUCUUUCUCUCAACUUGCCGUCUCCUCAAGGUGCAUCUGAAGGUUUUCACCAAUAAGACUCUCUUAUUAUUAAUUUUCUCAACUUUCAUCGCCGUGCGGUACCUGUGAAGGUUUUCAUCAAUCACGCUCUCUAUUUUUCUUGCUUGGACUGCAGUGUUGCCUUUGACAUGAAUUCCUUUACCUGCUUGACUUGGCAUUUCUCAAAGACUGAUCGGAAGGUCUUUCUUUGGACUGUAAUAUGGCUUUUGGAUGGGGUAAGAAAAUAAAGGUAUAAAAGGCUCAAAACAAUGUCAAAAUGGGUUUAAAGUACAACCUUCGGAAUCCAAUUUCUUUCAACAAUCACCACUUCGGCACCGGUUUCUUGCUUGGGUGCUUUUGGAUUUUUAUUUCGGUAUGACUGAAUCUCAGAGAGGUUGCCUACGUGCCCUUUCGGGAUCAAGUCAAAUGUAGUUCACGCCAUAAAAACUACGUUGUUAUGAUUUUCUUUCUCAUCUUUUCUUUACGUUUUUUUUUUUUGCUUUUUCUUUUUUUCUUUUUUUCUUCAUUUUUUCUUUUCUUUCUUUUCUUCUUUUCUCUUUCUUUCUUUUCUUUCUUCUCUUUUCUUUUCUUCUUUUUUCUUUUCUUUUUCUUUCUUUUCCCUUCUUUCUUGCUUUCUCCUUUUCCUUUCUCCCCUUUUCUUUUUCCAUUUUUCCAUUUGCUUAUCUCCGGCACUUGCAUUUCUUUAAUUGUGCCCUUGAUUCCGAAAGAAGGGUAUGAAAGAAAAAUAAAAAUGGCUCAAAAGGGGUGACAAUGGAAAAAUAUGUUUGGAUAGCUGAACAGGCAUUUGUCAUUUCAACCCUAAUAAUAUGUCAAGUACAAACAAGUACAAUCAGAAUAAAGAAACCAUACACAUCAUCUCCUACCGUAUCGGAAUUGACGGCCAUUUUCACACAUUUUCCUUCUAUAACUGUCAGAUGUAAUUUAUCAUUGGGCCACACUCUUACUCUUAUUACCACGACCGACCCCCCCGUUAAUUUGGCCAACUUGCUUUUGCGGGGAUUUUUAUGAUUUACUUGCCCCGGUUUCACAUGGUUCGGGCGUCAUACAAUCUCACAACGUUAAAAUCUAUUAUUAUUUCCUGAAAUGCCCUUAUCAUCUUUAAAUAGUUUAAAGAUCAGACCGAGAAUUAUGCGUGCAUGUCAUGUCACUAGAGCUAACAGGAAAAGAAAUGUAGAAAGAAAAGAGAACUAAACAAAAAUGACUAGAAAUGGCUAAAAACAGAGAAUGGUAUUAAAUAGAUGGUGAAAGGGUUUAAAAACAAAACAAGCAACACGAACUGGGGCACAAUCCUAAAACAAACCUAGAUAACACUACAUAAGAUAUGACGACUAGACAAAUAAAAGUAUAGAAGGGUUUGAAUCACAAGACAAUAUCCGGAUUACAACCCUGAAAGUAACCCAGAUGACAGAAAUGACAACAAAAUAAACCACCAACACUUCUCUCCAGCUAGCCAAGAGAUGAAGCGUCUUUCCAAUUACCAAGCUCGGCAUCUUAGCCACUGAGCUUUGCAUCAAUAUUUCCAAGACCAUUACCAACUUCAAUAUCAUCAACUUCGGUCAACAAGUUCCCAAGAGGAUUCGCAUGCUCCCUGUCACUAUCAUUAACCACAAUUACCCCUUCUUGAAUCAUUAUUUCUAUUUCCCUUUUCAAAUCCUUACAAUUCUCCACAUUGUACCCCAGAGCAUUGUAGUGAUAUUCACACCUUUUAGAUGAGUCAAAGCUUGUCGCAUGUCGGUCCACCUGAUUUUGAGAAACAAGUGCAAUCAUGUCAUGUUUGUUUUAACUUCUCAAAUAAACUUGCAUAGGACUCAUCUAUUUGUGUAAAAUUAUCUUUCAACUUUUUUUCCCUUCUAUGCCCAUGGCUUGGAUGUGAGUUAUUAGGUACUUGAAAAUGUUGCGAAAGCAGGCGGAUAUUUUGUGACACUCGUGCUCGCUUUCUUGGGUGAUUUUAUGGCUUCUAGAUGUUCUCCUAGGACCUAUUCUCGACCUUGAUAUCAUCAUAAUUUCUUCAUCCCUCUCAUUCGUAUUACCAGAUUCAAUUUGGAGAGCCCGAGCUGCAGAUUUGAGAGUUGUUUGACUUAUAAUUCUGCCCGUCUUAAGACCGUUCUCCACCAUUUCUCCCAUUUUGAUUGCCUCCGGGAAGGAUUUAUCCACUGCUGAUGUCAUGUAUUGAAAAUAGUAUGGCUCUUGAGUCUGUAGAAAGACAGUGAUUAACUCGUGGUCAUCCAUGGGUGGCUUAGCUUUAGCUUCCUGCUCUCUCCAUUUGAUGGCAUAUUACCUGAAACUUUCAGUUGGUUUCUUUUUCAGGUUAGAAAGGGAAAUGCGGUCUGGGGCAAGGUCAAUGUUGUAUUGAAAUUGUUUGACAAAGGCCCGUGACAUGUUGUCCCAGACGUACCAGCAAGAUGUGUCUUGAUCCAAAAAUAAUUCAGAUGCUACUCCCGAGAGGCUUUCCCCAAAAUAAGCUAUUUGAAAAUUUUCAUUUCUUCCCACACCUCUCAAUUGGUUGCAAUACAUUUUCAGGUGGGAUAUGGGGUCUCCAUGUCCAUUAUACCUUUCAAAUUUGUGAACCUUGAAACCAGGCGGCAAGAUCGGAGAACGUGCCUAGAUCUCUGAAGGCAACAGUAUUUUGACCUUCCAUUGCUUGCGUGUUUUUCACCUGUUAUUCUAAUCUUUUCACUCAUUGGGCUAUUUCUUCCUGUACCCUCUUUCGGGCAGGCUUCUCAAUGUUUGCAAGAAGAUCAAAUGAGUAUGAGUGGUACUCGAGAGAGUCAUACUGUUCUUGCUGUGUAGCAAAUUGUGAAUCAUGACAAGGCUUCCCGGCCAUUGGCCCAGGCUUGACGCAUUUUUGUCAUUUGUUGUUUCAGUGUUCUAUUUUCCUCAACCAUAGUAGACCUUGGUUAAUCCUCUAACCCUGAGUCACUUGAGGACUCGUGCAGAUUCAACGUUAGUUAUCAUUUUUCCUUGGAUCUUGUGUUUCCAGCUUAGCACAACCAACCACCUCAACUUUCUUCACAAUUCAAAACAAAACCUGAUAGAAUGGAUUAAGUCGGUCCUAAUUAUUAACAACAUCUUUUUCUUUUUUUCAAUUUUUCUUAUCCAUUUUUUCAUUUUCUUUUGUUGUGGUCGAAUCUUAUGGAGAUUUCCUACGGAUCAUGACCCUGCAUGAAUCUGACCGUGCGUAGUUCAUGCAAAUAAAAGAUAAACGACAAUAAAACAUUUUUUGGAAUUUCUCAUUUUCACGAUAAAAACAAAACUGACAAAUUCCUUCCUCUACUUGCCAAUUUCAACCAAAUGACUAGUUGUGCAAACAUGGCUCCUUCCCAAUUUAAAUGAAUUUUGUGGCUGGGCCGGCUUAUGUUGACCAAAAAUCGAACGGUAUUAACUUGACCACUAAGUCUUUCUCUUUUUCUUCAAAUUAAAAUAAAAGACUUGAUUUUGAAAACACGGCCUCUCAGCACCUUGGGGGCGAAGAGUUUAAGGCUGUGUUAGCUAACUGGUCAAAAAUCAAAAUUGACCAAAAUAGCCAUGUUUGCAAAGUCAGCCUUCCGGCGUCCCUUUCGGGAACAUUUUACUAUUUAUGACAAAACGGCGUCACCUGAUUUAUUCCUGGCGCAAAUAAAUUUUUUGACAUUUUGGCUAUUUUGCAAAGGAAAGGUUGGACCUGAUGAGGGCUUCACGCCCUGUGAUAAUCAAACCUGCGUAGUUCGGGAAAAUACACUAACUAUCUUAAAACAAGACUCUUUUUAUUUUCAUUUGUGGCAUUCUAUAAGCAAAUAAAAUAAUACUACUUUCAAAAGCAAGACUCUUUUUCGUUUUUCAUUUUGACACUUCAUAAGCAAAUAAAAUAAAAACCACUUUUAAAAACAAAACUUUUUUUUUUUCAUUUUCACUUUGAUGGCAAGACAAGUUAUUUUCUUUUCUAUUUUUGCAAAACAAGACCAAAUAAUGACUCUCUUUUUCUUUUUAUUUUCAGCAAACAAUAAAACGACCUAGUUUUACCCAGACCAAAAUAAAGACUCUUUUCUUUUUUUUUUUUUUUUCAAAAACCAACUCUCCAAAAAUAAAACAAAAACUUAUUUUUCUAUUUUUUCUUUUCUUUUUAGUAAAAAAAACUACAAAAAAAAAACCUUUUUUAUUCAUUUUCACAAAAUUUUGGCAGAGUUUCGACGGUAUUUGGGCAUUGGUUUUUAUAAAACUAAGAAAUUAACUCUCCACACUGCUAUUUUUCUCUUUUUCUCUUUUUCUCAAGCUUAAAAUACUCACGAUAUUCAAAAGCUGGUCAGCAUGCAUGCCCGAAACAAAUAAACGCACGGAAAACAAAUAGGAUGCGUCAGGAUGGUCUUUUUCAUUUCAGGUUGCUAGUCCUAGACGGACCCAACCCCUGUGUUGAGUCCCCUAAGUCAAAUGCAACGUGAUGCAAAUAAGCGUUCCUAGUAAGGAUAUGGCAUGAAGUCAAGUUAUUCAAUGUUCAAAACCUGGGUCGGUGUUCUAGACAGUGUGCUCGAGUGGACAACUCGAAUUGAGGAAGGGACAACGUACUGGGGACCCGCGAGAUCGUCCGGCUUUGCAACUUAUCCGGCCUCUUUCUUAUUUCAGGGUAUGACACUAACAUAAUAGGGAGCUCAACCAGUAAGCACAUCCCUGGAGGUGAAGAGAGAAGGGUGCCGGCAUAGUUUAUAUACAGUUCAAAUAAUAUCAAAGCGGUAAUAUUUAGCACAUUAAGCAUGUAGCAUGUACAAAAUAAGAUAAAACCCAAAUACAACAAUUUAUCUAAGCUCGAAUUCUGAACCCUGAACCAGAGAUUCUGGGUUCUUAUCCCCAGCAAAGUCGCCAGAGCUGUCACACAUCCUUUUUUACUAUACACCCCCGCAAAGGAGCGUAAGGAGUUUUUAAACUUAAAGGACAAUCGGAACGGGAUUUGGUUAUUAAUUAUUUCAGAGUCGCCACUUUGAAGAUUAAUGGUCUCCCAAGUAACUGGUUAAAUCCCGAACCGAGGAAAAAUAUGACUAUGUUACAGUCAGCGAACCAAAAAACCGAGUAAGGAAUUCUGUUAACCCGGGAGAAAGUGUUAGGCAUUCCCGAGCUCCGUGGUUCUAGCACGGUCGCUUUACGGUUGCAUUUGUUUUUAUCUGAUUUUAAUACAUGCUAGCUUAUGUGCCUUUUAUUCGUAAACCGCUUUUUAUUUUUACUUAUUUUAAAAGAAUUGCGACGUUGUGAAAAUGCGUUUUGAACCACGUCGCAAUCAAUGCACUCGUGGUUGUCAAAACAUUUCGACUUCGUCGAGAUUUGAAUUUGGGUCGCAUCAAUGCGUACCCGAGUGUAAGGAAGUAACAUUAUUAAACUAUCGCGCCAAAGGCAAUUUCGCAUUUUCAACUUUGCGAAGGCCAUAAAAUUUACUAAAUGGCACGCCUCGAGUUUUAAGAAUAAACAAAAUUAAUUAAAAUGAGGGUAAUGCAAUUGUCAUUUUGGUUUGAUACGACGCAUCUCAAACAGAGAAAGAAAUAGCUACUAUGUACAAAUGUAAGUUGCUGCUUGUUUUUAUGGCCAAGAAAUAGUGCAUGAAUGACAAUAUAAAUAAAAUAUUGAAAGCAAAUUUUCGAAAGUGUUACUUAGCACGUUUAUGCCCAAACAAUAUCAAUUGAUGUCAAUUACCAAUAGAAGACCAUCGUUAUCUUGUUUACAUUGCAUUCGAAUCGCAAAAUAGCCAAAACUCAAUAAUCAUAGCCAUUACAUGAUUUGAAUAUUGUGACACGAAUGAGUUCAUAUUCAUAUCCAAAUCUUCACGUUGUUAGAUAACUAAAUUACAAAUAAACAUCAUCUUCAAAACUUGAAUUUACAUUUCAUAACUAACUAGUACUGGAACAGUCAGCUAAGCCUUUUAAUUCAAAUCUGCCGAUUACAAGGGACAUUCUCCUAUUUUUGGCUUCGAAAUUCACUGAUAUGACAAAUUAGUGGUCAUAUUCGAAAUUCACAGCCACAUGACUACUAAUAACAAGGGUUGGGAUAGCAUUUAAAUUAAGUUCAUGCUAAUAUAAACAUAGCACGCAAAUUAAUGAUUGUAACCACUACCUCAAUAAAGAAGAACAUGUAGUUUCAUGAAAUUAUAAUCAGACAGACAUGGUUAAACGAAAUCAAAUAACAUAAUCCAAAGUCAAGAAGAGUACCUUGAUGUAGCAGCACAACAAUGAGAAACUACAAUAAGAAACUAGAACUGGGCCUAGCAAUGAAGGAAAUCGGCAUCAGAACCUCAAGCCAUCCAACUCGGUUAUUCAGAAAAAUCUAGAAGUGCAAGGAGAAAAUCGAGAGUUGUGACCCACUUCAAAAAAUCUUAAUUAUAGCAGCAACAAAUAGGAACAUCCCUUAAAUCCCCUUUUCUUCUGAUUUUUCCCAGAUUUGAAAUUUUAAUUGGCAACUUACUCUCUUCACAAGUUCAAGCGUGUGUGUAGAUCGUCCGUUUUUUUUUGGAGUUUUUCUCGUGUCC